UUGGGAGGGCAAGUCUGGUGCCAGCAGCCGCGGUAAUUCCAGCUCCAAUAGCGUAUAUUAAAGUUGUUGCAGUUAAAAAGCUCGUAGUUGAAUUUCGGGGUUAGUAGGUUGGUCAUGCCUCUGGUAUGUACUGGUCUCACUGAUUCCUCCUUCCUUAUGAACCGUAAUGCCAUUAAUUUGGUGUUGCGGGGAAUUUGGACUGUUACUUUGAAAAAAUUAGAGUGUUUAAAGCAAGCUAACGCUUGAAUACAUUAGCAUGGAAUAAUGAAAUAGGACG
rnacentral:rRNA from 1 species